rnacentral:snoRNA from 1 species
UGCUCAUUACCAAGGCUUUAAGAAUGCAUUCUCUCAUUUGCUGUGGACAUGACCAUAAAAAAGCUUCCCACUAGGUUUUCUAUAUGCUACCUUGAUAGCAAUCAACCUAUUGAGAGCAAUG